rnacentral:rRNA from 1 species
UACGUUCCCGGGUCUUGUACACGCCGCCCGUCACACCAUGGGAGCGGGUUUUACCAGAAGUAGGUAGCUUAACCGCAAGGGGGGCGCUUACCACGGUAGGAUUCGUGACUGGGGUG